AGACAAUUCGUAGUGGAGUGGAGGUGGUGACCCUCAGCCCACGUGUCUUCAAGGAGAGAUGGUUUAUUCAAUGAGGCUCAGAUCAAGGAGGAGUUCCGACACAUAACAACUCUUUCACUGGAAGAGACUUUGAUGCUGAAACUGGAUGGGUCCACUAACACCACUCGCUCCAGCUGAUGCGUGCCAAAGAGGAGAUGCUGGCUCCAGGAUGCGCCCUCUUCUGAGCACAAUUGAUGAGGCCCAGAGUGUUGGAAAAAGAGAUGCAGUGGCCAGGUGCCUGAUUGAAGACCUUGGGUUAGGGUUAGAAGACCUUUUUCAAGACAGCCAGGACGAGCAUGACAACGUGGACCAAACUGUGAAGGUGCUUGUGAUCCAUGAUGCCAGGGACCAGCAGAUGUGUCUAUAGUCAGAGAGGGAGACCUGAUCCAAACAGAGAGGAGACCACCUGCAGGGUCAGCUAUCCAGAACCUGAUCCAAUCAGAUAGGAGACCACCUGCAGGGUCAGCUAUCCAGAACCUGAUCCAAACAGAGAGGAGACCACCUGCAGGGUCAGCUAUCCAGAACCUGAUCCAAACAGAGAGGAGACCACCUGCAGGGUCAGCUAUCCAGAACCUGAUCCAAACAGAGAGGAGACCACCUGCAGGGUCAGCUAUCCAGAACCUGAUCCAAACAGAGAGGAGACCACCUGCAGGGUCAGCUAUCCAGAACCUGAUCCAAUCAGAGAGGAGACCACCUGCAGGGUCAGCUAUCCAGAACUUGAUCCAAACAGAGAGGAGACCACCUGCAGGGUCAGCUAUCCAGAACCUGAUCCAAACAGAGAGGAGACCACCUGCAGGGUCAGCUAUCCAGAACCUGAUCCAAACAGAGAGGAGACCACCUGCAGGGUCAGCUAUCCAGAACCUGAUCCAAACAGAGAGGAGACCACC